rnacentral:rRNA from 1 species
GCCUGAUCCAGCAAUGCCGCGUGGAUGAAGAAGGUCUUCGGAUUGUAAAGUCCUUUUGGCGGGGACGAUGAUGACGGUACCCGCAGAAUAAGCUCCGGCUAACUUCKUGCCAGCAGCCGCGGUAWUACKAAGGGGGCUAGCGUUGCUCGGAAUGACUGGGCGUAAAGGGCGCGUAGGCGGACGGCACAGUCAGGCGUGAAAUUCCUGGGCUCAACCUGGGGACUGCGUCUGAGACGUGUUGUCUUGAGUAUGGAAGAGGGUUGUGGAAUUUCCAGUGUAGAGGUGAAAUUCGUAGAUAUUGGAAAGAACACCGGUGGCGAAGGCGGCAACCUGGUCCAUUACUGACGCUGAGGCGCGAAAGCGUGGGGAGCAAACAGGAUUAGAUACCCUGGUAGUCCACGCUGUAAACGAUGUGUGCUGGAUGUUGGGGUGCUUAGCACUUCAGUGUCGUAGCUAACGCGGUAAGCACACCGCCUGGGGAGUACGGCCGCAAGGUUGAAACUCAAAUGA